UCCAAACAUGCAUAUUUUUCAACCAAAGCAUGCAUACAAGUUCCUAGGGGCCUCAAACAAACAUAUACCCCAUCUACAACACUUCAAACACACAUAAACAACACACAUUGCUCAAAACAUCAAUAUAUACCCAUAACAUCAACAUAUACCCUAUCAUGCAUUUCUACCCUUAGAUCUUGCAUAAAACUUAUUUAGAACACAUAAUAAGGGUGGAUCCGAGCUUACCUCUUGAAGAAAUGAGAGGGAAGACGAUCCUAGCUUGGAGAUGAAGAGAUUGAGCUCCUUGAACCUCCAAGCACCCAAAACUUACUCUUUG
rnacentral:lncRNA from 1 species